AUGUCUGGGCAGGGGCUGUAAAAUUGGAAUAGGUCCCCCCCCACUCCUUAAUGUGGUGGCAGAGACCCCUGAGGGGAAAUGCAGAGGGCCUUGGUUCUCGGCUGGGCUGUGGAGCUGGGCACUCAGGGAGUUUCACAUAGCCACGAAGCUGCUUUCUCAGGCUCCUCUGGCAGGGAGCGUCAGGAUGAGAAUCCAGACCUGACUGCCACCCAGCCCUCUCACUUCGCAGAUGCAAAAAUCCAGACUCAGAAAGGGAGGUAACUUCUCCAACAGGGCGGGGUCUGAAGCCCAGGGUCCCGACCCCACCAAGCUGGCCCUGCAGGAGCCUCCUGAGAGGUGUCUCGGGAGCAGACCCAGGGGAAGGGGGCACUGUGCACUCUUGCCGGGUAGGCAAAAGUCUGUCUGCUUCUUGGCAGCUGUGUGGCUUCAAAGCCCAGACAGCAGGGACUGAAGACUGAGCAAGCCACCCCUCUCCUGUCCCAGACCCACCUGAACCCACCAAAGCUGGGAAAGGAGGGGUAGUGGAGACUCCAGAAAAACAGGAAAAAUUUAAACUCAACCACUAAGUAAAGCAUCAUUAACUCCUGUUGUGCUGAGCCCACAAACAGGUUGUGCAACAUCCCCACCAUCCUUCUCCAGAACCAAUUCACCUUCCCCAGCUGAACUCUACACAUUAAACAAUAACUCCCCAUUCCCUCUUCACCAGCCCCAGCACUCACUGUUCUACUGUCUGUCGCUGUGCAUUUGACAACUCUAGGGACCUCAUCAUAUAAUCAUGGAUGGAGUCUCUACGAGGGCAGGGAUGUUGGUUGGCUGUAUCCUCGGGCUGGAAGAGCACUGGCACGCAGCAGGCACUGAAUAGAAUUUCUAAAUAUACAAACGGAUGAACCAAUGGAUGGAUGGAUGAAUGAAGACCCUGUAUAGGUCAAUGCCUCAAAUGUCUGUGCCUGGCCUGGAGUUAUGUCCCUCACCCCCACUGUAGACUAACUCCUGGUCCCACCCUACGGCUUUGGAACUGAAGCCACAGGCCUACCAUCCCUGAGAGGUAGCGGUGCUCAGCGUGGCAGGACGCCCCACUUGAUGGUAGGCUUCUCCCAGAUGGCUAACUGCUUCGAGUCUUUCCCCCAGAUGUAACAUGUCUAUGGGAGGAUUAUGACAUGGGUAGAUGAGAGUCCCCAGCCAUGGAGGUGACAAUGUGCCCUGGAGCCUCACAAGGCAGCAGCCACCAGGAAGAGGCAUGGAGGCCAGGAAGGUCCUGGAACACCAGAAUUUGGCCAACAGAGCCUGAAGCCAGCACAUCGUGGAGGGGCAGCAGCCUGGGGGCAUUCGGGAGACCUGGAGAUGUGGCAGCUGGCCAGGAGCUGGGGUACAACCUUGACAAUCACUAACCUCUCACUUCCUCGUCCUGCCAGGCUAUUUAUAGCCUCCCUCUCUCUGAAAACUCCUUCACCCAUUUUUCUGAGCUUAACAAGCUUGGUGAAUUGAAAUCAGGUGGACCACCUCCCCAACCUCAGCAAGCCUGCUGGGGUGACUGCACUCAGGCCAGGCCUGCUGGCAGCUCCUGCUCCAUGACAGGGACCCUUGAGGGCCUGCUGAGAGUCACAGGGUUGGGGUGACCCCGGGAAGGUGGCAUCUAAAGAGAGGGCAGCAGCUGGGCACCCAGGCAGACCUCAGCCAGAGAUGCUGGACGAUGGUGACCCCAGAAGGGCUCAGCUCACCCCAGGCCUCCUCCCUGCUUCAGGAAAAACAAACAGAUUGGGACAGUGGAAAAACAGCUGUACCUUUAAAUUAUCUGGCCCACAGAUAUGAAAAACAUUUGCAUGCUGAAGCUGUUUGCAUCUUCGGUUAUUUUUAGGGUGAACCCAGUUGCCUCCCCUUGGAACCAGAUGAAGCCCCAGAGGCACGUAGUCCUUUUUCCCAGACGGGGGUCCUGGUCCUGUUUCCCUGGGAAUAAGGCUUGAGCAUGAGCUCUCUGGGACCCAGCCCCCGACCAGAACCACACCGUGCAUUCAGGCUUGGGAGGAACUGGAGCACCAGGGAGCCAAGGCUGCAACUUUGAACAUUUGCCACUGCUGACAUCGUGGCCACCCACCUGGGGCCAGAAAGAGCCCCUCCGCUGCCCCCAGAGCAUGGGUGAAGAGACGAACGCUUAGCCUACUACCUCCUCUCAUGCCAGGCCCAGCUGAUGGGAAUAUUUUGCUGAGAUAUUUCUAGCACCAGCAGCAAUUAAAGCAGAUUUUCUCUUCCACUCCCCUUCCCCAAAACAAGAAUAAAUCAGUUCUACCAAUU
rnacentral:lncRNA from 10 species